rfam:Protomyces lactucaedebilis strain 12-1054 BCR37scaffold_10, whole genome shotgun sequence.
GCUUGCUUGGUCUAGUCGGUUAUGACGUUGGUCUCAUAUUGCGCAAUGUGCUGUGAUAUCUGAAGGUCGUGAGUUCGAUUCUCACAGCGAGCA